AAGAUUUUAAGUUAACGAAACUAGUAGCCUUCAAAGCCUCAAUUGAGAUACUUUUUACUCAAAUCUUA
rnacentral:tRNA from 1 species